GACGAACGCUGGCGGCAUGCCUAACACAUGCAAGUCGAGCGAGUAGAUCCCUUCGGGGUGAAGCUAGCGGCGGACGGGUGAGUAACACGUGGGCAACCUGCCUCAUAGAGGGGAAUAGCCUUCCGAAAGGAAGAUUAAUACCGCAUAAGAUUGUAGUACCGCAUGGUAUAGCAAUUAAAGGAGCAAUCCGCUAUGAGAUGGGCCCGCGGCGCAUUAGCUAGUUGGUGAGGUAACGGCUCACCAAGGCGACGAUGCGUAGCCGACCUGAGAGGGUGAUCGGCCACAUUGGGGCUGAGACACGGCCCAGACUCCUACGGGAGGCGGCAGUGGGGAAUAUUGCACAAUGGGGGAAACCCUGAUGCAGCAAUGCCGCGUGAGUGAUGACGGCCUUCGGGUUGUAAAGCUCUGUCUUCGGGGACGAUAAUGACGGUACCCGAGGAGGAAGCCACGGCUAACUACGUGCCAGCAGCCGCAGUAA
rnacentral:rRNA from 1 species